rnacentral:rRNA from 1 species
GUGAGGAAUAUUGGUCAAUGGACGGAAGUCUGAACCAGCCAUGCCGCGUGCAGGAAUAAGGUCCUAUGGAUUGUAAACUGCUUUUAUUCGGGAAUAAACCUCUUUACGUGUAGGGAGCUGAAGGUACCGAAGGAAUAAGCACCGGCUAACUCCGUGCCAGCAGCCGCGGUAAUACGGAGGGUGCAAGCGUUAUCCGGAAUCAUUGGGUUUAAAGGGUCCGCAGGCGGGCUAUCAAGUCAGAGGUGAAAUACCACAGCUUAACUGUGGAACUGCCUUUGAAACUGAUGGUCUUGAAUUAAGUGGGCGUUGGCGGAAUAUGACAUGUAGCGGUGAAAUGCAUAGAUAUGUCAUGGAACACCGAAAGCGAAGGCAGCUAACGAUACUUAUAUUGACGCUCAUGGACGAAAGCGUGGGUAGCGAACAGGAUUAGAAACCCGAGUAGUCC